rnacentral:snRNA from 1 species
GGAUGUGACGACGAUCUGGCUGCGACAUCUGUCAACACAUUGAUCGCCAGGGUUGAUUCAGCUGAGCUGGCUGGCUGGGCGGGUGUCCCCUUCCUCCUUCACCGCUCCUGGUGCGUCCCUCCCGAAGCUGCGUGCUCGGUCGAACAGAACGACCUUCCCCGAAUAGAGGAGGACCGGUCUUCAGUCAAGAGUGUGCGGGCAGCUGCGCUCCCCUGCUAGAACCUCCAAACAAGCUCUCAAAUAAAUGAAUAAAAAUUAUCGAAAAAGUUUUUAAAAAUGGCCAUUGAGCCCGUGUCAAU